rnacentral:tRNA from 1 species
GAGGAUUUAGCUUAAUAAAAGUGAUUGAUUUGCGUUCAGUAGAUGCAAGGUAAAUUCUUGCAGUCCUUA